rnacentral:lncRNA from 1 species
UAUGAAAACUGGCCAGAUCCCCUUCUCAAAACCGACAGGACUUCUCAGUGCCAGCAGAGCUUAUAUCCACGUGAGCUGCACAGAUGGACGAGUUCAGAGCACCUCCUUGAUGCCAACACGCGCAAAGGAAAAGUCACUUUUUACUUUCCCAGCAGAUGCUGCUUUCCUGGGGUGGGGGGACACCUGGCAGGUACCCACUCCUUCCUCUGGCCACAGAACGCCUCUGCCAGCAAUGAGGAGGAAGAGGAGAGAGGGGCCGGCUUCAAGGAGGAUUUGGAGGAGUUCCAGUUCUUGCAAGGCCAGUACCACGCUGAAGAAAAAAGGUACAGGUGCCAUUUUCUUCAGGCAUAAAGAAAACAUAACUGGAACGGGAGGGGGAAAGGUACAAUUAUCAGCUAGAAGAAAGGGAAAGAUACUACAAAUAACCUGUUGACAAAGAACUUCAACACUGCCACAUUUAAAUGGAUUGGCUCAGAAAAAAAGUAGGAGUUCUUACUCACAACAACAUCUCAGGAAUGUCAAGAAAGCUCUUGAGUAUCUCUGGGCACAUGCAAAGUGUGACCGAGUCCAUCAGAAACCAGCGCAAGACCAAAACCCCACUCACCACAGCUGGCUGAAAAUUCUCCACUGCAGGGAAACAUCUGAAAGCCAGCACUCUUUCCACUGUCCUGCGACAUCGACAUAAACAAAACCACUCUGCUUUUUUUCCAAAUAGCUGCUGAGAACAGGGAAAUAGCAUAGCUUUUUUAAAAAAAAAAAAACCAAAGUGUUUCCAAAAGCAGUUUUGUACAUCAUCUAAAACAAAAGGCUGUGCUUAAAUGUGUGCAGCGAUAACAUUGACACCAAUAUUUUCGUGUUCUGAUUUUGCUACAUAGAAAGCAGAAAGCUCCUGUGCAGCUGGUCGGGCAGCAAUCGAGCUGUUGCACAACUCAAUAUGCAGAUCAGGCCUGAGGAAGUUCUGCCGGGAUCCUCUUUGUACUCUGUUUUUAAAAUGUGAUUAACAUCUGUUUUCUUAGAUUAGGAAAUUGCAGAGAGGUUUUAUGUUACGCUUCUGAAUUAUUUUGAAUGCUGCACAACUGAGUCAUGUGUUCUACAUAUUUGGAAAUCCCAAGUUUUAGCAACUCCUGCUUGGCUGCCUAGAGACUGUAUAAAGCUCAUUGUCAAAGCUUUACUCUGCUGUCUGACUUGGGUGAUUUAUUGUCCUCCUGAAUCUGUUGACAGAUUCACCUGGGAUUCAAGUUUGCUAAUAGCUGUAUUUGUUUAUUUGUUAAACACACAGGUCUGAGCCAGGGCUGGUGUCUCUGCUCUUCCAGAACUGCCAAAGCACUCUGAAGCUUUUGCAUCUCACAGCUGGGCUUAUCUGGUUUCUAGUAAGGUGCAAGUUCCACCCAAAAUUUUUUCCCUACUCAGGAUGUUUAUAAUCACUCCUAGAG